rnacentral:misc_RNA from 1 species
CCGAGUUUUGAAUUUGUAAAAAUUCAACUCCCACCCUUUGUUUAUUAUGUCUUCUUCGGCAUGACGAUUUGUUGGUUGCAAGACUGACAAGCCACUGGUUUGAGAGAACGAGUGAGUGCUUGCCGAAGGCCUUUAACUCUAUGUUUUGAAGUCUGAGUCUAAAGAAAAUAAAUUA